GAUGAACGCUGGCGGCGUGCCUAAUACAUGCAAGUCGAGCGAACAGACGAGGAGCUUGCUCCUCUGACGUUAGCGGCGGACGGGUGAGUAACACGUGGAUAACCUACCUAUAAUACUGGUAUCACUUCGGGAAACCGGAGCUAAUACCGUAUAAUCUAUUGAACCGCAGGGUUGAAUGGUGAAAUACGGCUUUUCUGUAACUAAUAGAUGGAUCCGCGCGGCAUUGUCUAGUUGGUAAGGUAACGGGUUACCAAGGCGACGAUGCGUAGCCGACCUGAGAGGGUGAUCGGCCACACGGGAAGUGGGACACGGUCCAGACUCCUACGGGAGGCAGCAGUAGGGAAUCUUCCGCAGUGGGCGAAAACCUGACGGAGCGACCGCGCGCGAGUGAUGGAAGUCUUCGGAUCGUAAAAAUCUGUUAUUAGGGAAGAACAAAUGUGUAAGUAACUAUGCACGUAUUGACGGUAACUGAUCAGAAAGCAACGGCUAACUACGUG
rnacentral:rRNA from 1 species